rnacentral:rRNA from 1 species
UGGCUAACUCCUACGGGAGGCAGCAGUGGGGAAUUUUGGACAAUGGGGGCAACCCUGAUCCAGCAAUGCCGCGUGAGUGAAGAAGGCCUUUGGGUUGUAAAGCACUUUUGUCAGGGAAGAAACGGUAGUAGCUAAUAUCUAUUACUAAUGACGGUACCUGAAGAAUAAGCACCGGCUAACUACGUGCCGGCAGCCGCGGUAAUACGCAGGGUGCAAGCGUUAAUCGGAAUUACUGUGCGUAAAGCGUGCGCAGGCGGUUGUGUAAGUCAGAUGUGAAAUCCCCGGGCUCAACCUGGGAAUUGCAUUUGAGACUGCACGGCUAGAGGGUGUCAGAGGGGGGUAGAAUUCCUCGUGUAGCAGUGAAAUGCGUAGAUAUGUGGAGGAAUACCGAUGGCGAAGGCAGCCCCCUGGGAUAACACUGACGCUCAUGCACGAAAGCGUGGGGAGCAAACAGGAUUAGAUACUCGGGUAGUCCAGCUGG